AUGGUCGCCAGCGCCCACCCCGUUGAGGGAGAAGGCGGCAUUGGCAGUGUAAGGCAGUUCAACUUCACCUCAGCCAUGCCCUUCGACCUCAUGAAGGAGAGGCUCGAGUUCAUUGAUGUGGACAAAUGUGAGUGCAAGUCGACCCUCAUCGAGGGUGGUGGCAUUGGCACAGCGAUCGAGACGGCCACGUCGCACAUCAAGGUGGAGGUGGCAGCCAACGGCGGGAGCGUGGUGAAGGUGGAAUCGACGUACAAGCUGCUGCUAGGCGUGGAGGUGAAUGAUGAGAUUACCAAGGCCAAGGAUUCUGUCACGACCAUCUUCAAGGCCGCCGAGGCCUACCUUAUCGCCAACCCAGACGCCUACAACUAA
rnacentral:rRNA from 1 species